CAACUUUCUGUCCAAAACAAGUUGACGAGUUACACAACCAAAUUGAAAAAGGGAAAAUUCCAUACGCCACACUUUCAUCCCAUUAUGUAAGAUGUGGCACAUUUAUCACCAUAGUGGGAUGAAAGUGUGAUGAGAGUAUGUCUUCCAAUAGUGAUAAAUG